GGCUUGCACUGGGGUGAACUGCUCCCACUGUCCUGCCAUUGGUACACCACUGGAAACAUCAGUGAAGAAGCACUGUGGUGGAGGUGGAGGAUGACACGAAGGCAGUGAGACAGAAGCCGGGAUUACACUUAUUUCCUGCAUAUAAACCCCCAAUUAUAGUCAGUCAUGGAGAAGGAUUUGAGACUGAUCUCCCAUCUCUUCAGCUGCAGCACCUGAUUAAAGCCUUCUUCCCUAAAAAUACUUGUUGGCUCAGUGAUUGGCUUUCUGUGUGAUGAACAGCAGGACCUAGACAGGACCCUUCGUGUUUUGAUCUCAGCACCCGUAUAUAAGAACAGGGUCAAUUUUGCUUGGCUUUGGAGGAGAAUUUGGAUGAAAAUGCAGAAGGACAUGUCUCUUCCCAAUUAUGUGAGUAGAAAUAAGUAUUUGUAGAGUAUGUUUUAAUUUCCUCAACAGUAAACUAUAAUUAGAUGUUGCCACAGCCUUCACUAGUCCAGUCUAUGAUGGUGUAGUAUCUGGCAGUUGAUCUGCAAUUGUUUAUGUGUUCUUCCUGAGGUCUUCUCCAGCUUGACUUCUCAUCUGUACCAGGACACACAAUAAUUUAAAUCACUCAUACAUAUUCUUUGCAAAUU